UGAGGAAUAUUGGUCAAUGGGCGAGAGCCUGAACCAGCCAAGUCGCGUGAAGGAUGACUGUCUUAUGGAUUGUAAACUUCUUUUAUACGGGAAUAACAAGAGCCACGUGUGGCUCCCUGCAUGUACCGUAUGAAUAAGCAUCGGCUAACUCCGUGCCAGCAGCCGCGGUAAUACGGAGGAUGCGAGCGUUAUCCGGACUUAUUGGGUUUAAAGGGUGCGUAGGCGGCCUGUUAAGUCAGCGGUGAAAUCUAGGAGCUUAACUCCUAAAUUGCCAUUGAUACUGGCGGGCUUGAGUGUAGAUGAGGUAGGCGGAAUGCGUGGUGUAGCGGUGGAAUGCAUAGAUAUCACGCAGAACUCCGAUUGCGAAGGCAGCUUACUAAGGUACAACUGACGCUGAAGCACGAAAGCGUGGGUAUCAAACAGGAUUAGAUACCCUGGUAGUCCACGCAGUAAACGAUGAUAACUGGGCGUAUGCGAUAUACAGUAUGCUCCUAAGCGAAAGCGUUAAGUUAUCCACCUGGGGAGUACGCCGGNNCGGUG
rnacentral:rRNA from 1 species